rnacentral:lncRNA from 1 species
UUGAACAGAGGCGUUGGCGGCGGUAAAAAGAAUGGCGGUAAAACGGCGGUGCGGGAGCGGUAAAUAUAUGAAUGGCUUACCGCACGCAUGGGCGACACCGUGGCCUACUCGUAGGCUUGCGUGGUGAGGAGGUGGCUUAGCCGUUGCACUGGCGAGCGACCGAGAGCGGCGGUGGCGACACGUCCUGCCUGCUCUGCUGCUCUUCCCCUUUCUGAUUUCUGG